CUGCGUCGCCCUCCUUGGGCGUUUCCUCCCUAGACUUGGGCCGCCUCGUGCGGCCCUUUUUUUUGCCUUUC
rnacentral:sRNA from 1 species